rnacentral:rRNA from 1 species
GGAAACUAGUGGCGAACGGCUGAGUAACGCGUAGGUGACCUACCCCGUAGUGUGGAAUAACUGCCCGAAAGGGUAGCUAAUACCGCAUGUUGAGCCGACAUCAAUGUCGUCUCCAAAGCAGAAAUGCGCUAUGGGCGGGGCCUGCGUUCGAUUAGCUAGUUGGUGGGGUAAUGGCUCACCAAGGCGACGAUCGAUAGGUGGUCUGAGAGGACGAUCACCCAGACUGGGACUGAGACACGGCCCAGACUCC